rnacentral:rRNA from 1 species
AAUGGGCGAAAGCCUGAUCCAGCCAUUCCGCGUGAGUGAAGAAGGCCUUCGGGUUGUAAAGCUCUUUCGGCAGGAACGAAACGGUGGGAGCUAAUAUCUCCUGCUAAUGACGGUACCUGAAGAAGAAGCACCGGCUAACUACGUGCCAGCAGCCGCGGUAAUACGUAGGGUGCGAGCGUUAAUCGGAAUUACUGGGCGUAAAGCGUGCGCAGGUGGUUGUUUAAGACAGAUGUGAAAUCCCCGGGCUUAACCUGGGAACUGCGUUUGUGACUGGACAGCUAGAGUGCGGCAGAGGGGGGUGGAAUUCCACGUGUAGCAGUGAAAUGCGUAGAGAUGUGGAGGAACACCGAUGGCGAAGGCAGCCCCCUGGGCCAGCACUGACGCUCAUGCACGAAAGCGUGGGGAGCAAA